GACGUAGGGGGCCAGCGUUGCUCGGAAUUACUGGGCGUAAAGGGUUCGUAGGCGGUGUGGCAAGUCGGGAGUGAAAUCUCCAGGCUCAACUUGGAGGCUGCUUCCGAAACUGCCGCGCUAGAGUGCGAGAGAGGCCAGUGGAAUUGCAGGUGUAGCGGUGAAAUGCGUAGAUAUCAGGAGGAACACCGAUGGCGAAGGCAGGUCUCUGGGCCGCAACUGACGCUGAGGAGCGAAAGCAUGGGGAGCGAACAGG
rnacentral:rRNA from 1 species